rnacentral:rRNA from 1 species
ACCCACAGGUUAAGUAACAGGAAGCAGCUUGCCGUUUNUGCUUNACGAGUGGCGGACGGGUGAGUAAUGUCUGGGAAACUGCCUGAUGGAGGGGGAUAACUACUGGAAACGGUAGCUAAUACCGCAUAACGUCGCAAGACCAAAGAGGGGGACCUUCGGGCCUCUUGCCAUCGGAUGUGCCCAGAUGGGAUUAGCUAGUAGUGGGGUAACGGCUCACCUAGGCGACGAUCCCUAGCUGGUCUGAGAGGAUGACCAGCCACACUGGAACUGAGACACGGUCCAGACUCCUACGGGAGGCAGCAGUGGGGAAUAUUGCACAAUGGGCGCAAGCCUGAUGCAGCCAUGCCGCGUGUAUGAAGAAGGCCUUCGGGUUGUAAAGUACUUUCAGCGGGGAGGAAGGGAGUAAAGUUAAUACCUUUGCUCAUUGACGUUACCCGCAGAAGAAGCACCGGCUAACUCCGUGCCAGCAGCCGCGGUAAUACGGAGGGUGCAAGCGUUAAUCGGAAUUACUGGGCGUAAAGCGCACGCAGGCGGUUUGUUAAGUCAGAUGUGAAAUCCCCGGGCUCAACCUGGGAACUGCAUCUGAUACUGGCAAGCUUGAGUCUCGUAGAGGGGGGUAAAUUCCCGUGUNCGGUGAAAUGCGGUNANAUCUGGANGAAACCGGGGGGAU